UUGGUUAAGUUAGAAAGGGCGCACGGUGGAUGCCUUGGCACUAGGAGCCGAAGAAGGACGGGACUAACACCGAUAUGCUUUGGGGAGCUGUACGUAAGCGUUGAUCCAGAGAUUUCCGAAUGGGGGAACCCACUAUCUUUAGUCGGAUAGUAUCCUUACGUGAAUACAUAGCGUGAGGAAGGCAGACCCAGGGAACUGAAACAUCUAAGUACCUGGAGGAAGAGAAAGAAAAAUCGAUUUCCUGAGUAGCGGCGAGCGAAACGGAAAGAGCCCAAACCAAGAAGCUUGCUUCUUGGGGUUGUAGGACACUCUAUACGGAGUUACAAAAGAAAGUUAUAAAUGAAGCGGUCUGGAAAGGCCCGCCAAAGACGGUAACAGCCCGGUAGUUGAAAUGGCUUUCCCUCCAGAGUGGAUCCUGAGUACGGCGGAACACGUGAAAUUCCGUCGGAAUCCGGGAGGACCAUCUCCCAAGGCUAAAUACUCCCUAGUGACCGAUAGUGAACCAGUACCGUGAGGGAAAGGUGAAAAGCACCCCGGAAGGGGAGUGAAACAGUUCCUGAAACCGUGUGCCUACAAGUAGUUAGAGCCCGUUAAUGGGUGAUAGCGUGCCUUUUGUAGAAUGAACCGGCGAGUUACGAUUUGUUGCAAGGUUAAGCGGAAAAAGCGGAGCCGUAGCGAAAGCGAGUCUGAAUAGGGCGCAUAAGUAACAGGUCGUAGACCCGAAACCAGGUGAUCUACCCAUGUCCAGGAUGAAGGUAAGGUAAUACUUACUGGAGGUCCGAACCCACGCACGUUGAAAAGUGCGGGGAUGAGGUGUGGGUAGCGGAGAAAUUCCAAUCGAACUUGGAGAUAGCUGGUUCUCUCCGAAAUAGCUUUAGGGCUAGCCUCGAGGUAAAGAGUCAUGGAGGUAGAGCACUGUUUGGACUAGGGGCCCUUCUCGGGUUACCGAAUUCAGAUAAACUCCGAAUGCCAUGUACUUAUACUCGGGAGUCAGACUGCGAGUGAUAAGAUCCGUAGUCGAAAGGGAAACAGCCCAGACCACCAGUUAAGGUCCCCAAAUAUAUGUUAAGUGGAAAAGGAUGUGGGGUUGCUUAGACAACCAGGAUGUUGGCUUAGAAGCAGCCACCAUUGAAAGAGUGCGUAAUAGCUCACUGGUCGAGUGACCCCGCGCCGAAAAUGUACCGGGGCUAAACAUAUUACCGAAACUGUGGAUGAACCUCUUUAGAGGUUCGUGGUAGGAGAGCGUUCUAAGGGCGGUGAAGUCAGACCGGAAGGACUGGUGGAGCGCUUAGAAGUGAGAAUGCCGGUAUGAGUAGCGAAAGAAGGGUGAGAAUCCCUUCCACCGAAUAUCUAAGGUUUCCUGAGGAAGGCUCGUCCGCUCAGGGUUAGUCGGGACCUAAGCCGAGGCCGAUAGGCGUAGGCGAUGGACAACAGGUAGAGAUUCCUGUACCAGUGCUAAUUGUUUAACCGAUGGGGUGACACAGAAGGAUAGGGAAUCGCACGAAUGGAAAUGUGCGUCCAAGCAGUGAGUGUGAGAAGUAGGCAAAUCCGCUUCUCGCGAAGCAUGAGCUGUGAUGGGGAAGGAAAUUAAGUACGGAAGUUCCUGAUUUCACGCUGUCAAGAAAAGCCUCUAGGAAGAGUAGUACUGCCCGUACCGCAAACCGACACAGGUAGAUGAGGAGAGAAUCCUAAGGUGAGCGAGAGAACUCUCGUUAAGGAACUCGGCAAAAUGACCCCGUAACUUCGGGAGAAGGGGUGCUCUAUUAGGGUGCAAGCCCGAGAGAGCCGCAGUGAAUAGGCCCAGGCGACUGUUUAGCAAAAACACAGGUCUCUGCAAAACCGUAAGGUGACGUAUAGGGGCUGACGCCUGCCCGGUGCUGGAAGGUUAAGAGGAGUGCUUAGCUUCGGCGAAGGUACGAAUUGAAGCCCCAGUAAACGGCGGCCGUAACUAUAACGGUCCUAAGGUAGCGAAAUUCCUUGUCGGGUAAGUUCCGACCCGCACGAAAGGCGCAACGAUCUGGGCACUGUCUCAACGAGAGACUCGGUGAAAUUAUAGUACCUGUGAAGAUGCAGGUUACCCGCGACAGGACGGAAAGACCCCGUGGAGCUUUACUGCAACCUGAUAUGGAAUGUUUGUACCGCUUGUACAGGAUAGGUAGGAGCCGAAGAGACGUGUGCGCUAGCAUACGAGGAGGCAAUGGUGGGAUACUACCCUGGCUGUAUGACCAUUCUAACCCGCCACGCUUAGCGCGUGGGGAGACAGUGUCAGGUGGGCAGUUUGACUGGGG
rnacentral:rRNA from 1 species